rnacentral:rRNA from 1 species
AACAGGAUUAGAUACCCGGGUAGUCCAUGCCGUAAACGAUGAGUGCUAAGUGUUGGAGGGUUUCCGCCCUUCAGUGCUGCAGCUAACGCAUUAAGCACUCCGCCUGGGGAGUACGACCGCAAGGUUGAAACUCAAAGGAAUUGACGGGGGCCCGCACAAGCGGUGGAGCAUGUGGUUUAAUUCGAAGCAACGCGAAGAACCUUACCAGGUCUUGACAUCUUCUGCCAGGCUGAGAGAUCAGCUGUUCCCUUCGGGGACAGAAUGACAGGUGGUGCAUGGUUGUCGUCAGCUCGUGUCGUGAGAUGUUGGGUUAAGUCCCGCAACGAGCGCAACCCUUAUGUUCAGUUGCCAGCAUUCAGUUGGGCACUCUG